rnacentral:rRNA from 1 species
GACGAACGCUGGCGGCGUGCCUAAUACAUGCCAGUAGAACGCUGAAGCGAGGAGCUUACUCUUCUUGGAUGAGUUGCGAACGGGUGAGUAACGCGUAGGUAACCUGCCUUGUAGCGGGGGAUAACUAUUGGAAACGAUAGCUAAUACCGCAUAACAAUGGAUGACACAUGUCAUUUAUUUGAAAGGGGCAAUUGCUCCACUACAAGAUGGACCUGCGUUGUAUUAGCUAGUAGGUGAGGUAAUGGCUCACCUAGGCGACGAUACAUAGCCGACCUGAGAGGGUGAUCGGCCACACUGGGACUGGGACACGGCCCAGACUCCUACGGGAGGCAGCAGUAGGGAAUCUUCGGCAAUGGGGGCAACCCUGACCGAGCAACGCCGCGUGAGUGAAGAAGGUUUUCGGAUCGUAAAGCUCUGUUGUAAGUCAAGAACGGGUGUGAGAGUGGAAAGUUCACACUGUGACGGUAGCUUACCAGAAAGGGACGGCUAACUACGUG